rnacentral:rRNA from 1 species
CAGCAGCCGCGGGAAUACGAAGGGGGCUAGCGUUGCUCGGAAUGACUGGGCGUAAAGGGCGCGUAGGCGGAUCACGCAGUCAGAUGUGAAAUUCCUGGGCUUAACCUGGGGGCUGCAUUUGAGACGCGUGGUCUAGAGUGUGAAAGAGGGUCGUGGAAUUCCCAGUGUAGAGGUGAAAUUCGUAGAUAUUGGGAAGAACACCGGUGGCGAAGGCAGCCAUCUGGCCUAAUACUGACGCUGAGGUACGAAAGCAUGGGGAGCAAACAGGAUUAGAUACCCCAGUAGUCCCUGUCUCUUAUAA